CCCAACUCCCCUUCGCCCGUGGUAUUCUCCAUUAGGCUGAGAAGCUAGUGGUGGGAGGGAGCACAGUGAACACUUUACAUGUCUCAGCGAUCGCCUUGCAAGCUUCCCGCUAGGUGAGCCAGCCACACGACCUGGGAGCUCGAAAAUAGUCUGAUGGUUUAAAUAGUGGUGGAAAAGCCAAAGCAAGAGGGACAACAUGCUCGAAUCUUCACUGAACGUUGAGUUGUCCAAUUCUUAUUAUCUUAACUGUGUUUUCAUUAAGCCUUGAGGAAGUCUUUUUAGAGUGGGGUAAAAAAUUUCCUGUGACUUCCGAAGCACCCACUGGCCUCCAUGCAGCUUUGCAGUUCGAGCAUCGCUCUGUUUCUCUGUGAGCAGAGCAGGCAAGAGCGCUGCGAACUUGGUGUGUCUAGAAGCCUGGAGGAGAUUUACUGGCCAGUCCAGCCAAGGCCCCUUGGCCAGCCGGGUCUUAUACGUCUGCCCAUUUUAAAUUCAGCCUUCUGUCCUUUUCUCAACCCUUUAGAUCCUUCUAUUUUAAUCUUCCCCUCACACCCAUAAAACAAUGAGAAAAAAUUCCUGGAAACCAGCAUGCCUCUCCUCCAACCAGGCUGCGGUGGGGGAGUCUUUCCACCUAUUUCUUUGCCUGCCUGCAAGACACAGGGCUCAGGCAGGGCUUUUGUUUCCUCAGGUGAUGAUUUACGUGGGUGGACCCUGGGCAGAGAAGAGUCGAGUAUCAAUUUCUCUGGGUUACCGUGUUAAAUGACCGAUGCAUGGAUGGUUAUUGCUACCUCGGGAGCACGUGAACGCCCUUCGCCUCCCUGACACCGCUGCCCCCUCUGCUGAUGAUCAGUUAAAAAUGUAAAUAAAAAGACUGCACUUUGGAGAGAGUCGGCUCAGGAGAGGGGGAAAAAUUGCAAAAGCGAAGUUUAUUGAUCCCCUGGUCAAGAUUGAUGGCACAAUAAGAGCAGGAGGCGAAGAGUGAUUUUGCUUUUGAAAACGUUGAUGAAUAAGCACUCAGGGGCAACAAAUAGCCGGGCUCACCGAGUGAUGGACGGUGGUCGGGGAGCAAGAUGCAUUUUUAUAAAUGAGUAAAAGGAGAGGAGGACUUAUUAAAAAAAUGAAUGACCACAUGUGGCAGGGCUAUGCCAGGAGGGAGAAGAAAGCCAUUGAUUUAUGUGUACCACUGGCAUUUGAAAAUUCAAUAAUAACAUUGACAAAUGAGAGGCAAACCUGGCCACAGGACAGCGUUGAGCCUGGAACGGAGAAAGAAAAUGCCAAGGUCAGGGAGAAGGAGCAGAAAAACAUGCUUAUGUUGGAAAGCCUUUACAUUAACUCAUCUAUAUAAAGACAUUAAGAAAAAUCCUCCGCUAUCAGUGCCUGGCUCUCUGAGACAGCAGGGCGGGCAGGCAAGGGGAGGAGGAGAGAGAGGCGAUCAGAGAAGCCACUGUGCCAGCUCUCCUCCUGCUGCCCGAGAGGAGAGGGCUGGGCUUCCCUGGGCCUUCUUGCCCUACUGCAGAGUCUGAAAUAAAAGCACCCUCACAAUUGGGGGAAUUUUCCCGUGGACACCCACAUUCUGUCCCGACCUGUUCCUCACUGGGGUCCCGUUGCCAGCACUUUAUCUGCACUGCCUUUGUGACCAUUGUUUUUUUUCACUACAAUUUGGGUGCAUAUGGUCCCUCUGGGUGUGGCUCCUAAGCUCCCUGAGGACAGGCCUGCCUCAUGUCUCAGGAGCUCUUUAGGGUCUCGCAAAUGAAUAAGGGACUGUAACGUACCAUUUCUCUGACUCGGCACACUCGGAACCACAGUUCCAGCUCCUCUGCCUCUUCUUCUUUCUCCACCCCUUACUCACCCUAAUAUUUUUUACUGAAACAUCUUUCCCUGUGAUGUCAUUAAACCAUCCAUCCAUCCAAGCAUCCAUCCAUCCAUCCAUCCAUCCAUCCAUUCAACAAGUCUGUAUGAAGCACUAGCUCUGCACUAGGCACUAUGCUGGGUGCAAAGUACAGAUGUAACCCUUGACUUGAAGAGUGGCGAGAUCUUCCGGAGAGCAGCGCUUACCUUUAGAAACAAUGGAUACAGUGCUCUUUGUGCCCUUUCCUCUUCCCCGAUCAGAAUUGCUCUCAAAUGUCACAUGACAUGGCUGCCUUUCUAAGAAAUCUCUCUGUGGGCCAAACUGGGGGUUCUGGGCUGGUUUGCUUCAAGCCAACCUUGGCAAUAUUUUAUCCAUUUCUUUUCCUUCUUUUUUUUUGGCUCUCCUUUACUUACCACCAGUUGUUGUUCAGCUAAAGAAGGACGCUUGAAAUCUAGCAAACCUGAAACAAUUCUCGCUGACAGCAUGGAGGUGCGGUGCACACACGCAUAUACCCAUGCGCUCCUCCCCGUUGACUAUAGCCCUCUGAAAGAACUGGCCUUUGACCUGUGACCUGCAUCAGCCUCGUAUGCUUGCCAUAGACACUGCAUCUACUUCUCUGACUUUAACCACCAGCUUCCUGACAAUGCCCUAGGCCGAUAAUGUGCUUCUGUGAUUUUAACAUCUCAGCCACUUAAUACAUCCCCUCUUCUUUUGUUCCUUGGCUCUUCCUUAAAUGGCAGGAGUGUGAGGGGAGGAAGCCCUCCCAGGAGAGGGCUGAUCGCCUGUCAAUGAGCUUUCUUUGUUCCUUCCCCACUUUCACAGCUAUUCCCCCUGGCCUGGGUUGGCUCCUAUGACGUCUUUUCCAAAUGCUACAAGGUGAGAGGGGCUUGAACAGAAACCUAAAUCCUUGUUAAUUUUCUCUUGGAAAAGUCUGGAACUGCAGCCUUUCCCAGGGGCUUGUCCAUGGGCCUGAUCCAAGUGCAUAGAAUGGCCAUGAGGCCCAGAUGUGUGUAUGUGAUGUCUUUGUGGGAUUUCCAUAGGUUUCCACAGGCCUCUGGCAGUUCACUGAAUUCUCAAGUUUAGAAAUGUUAUUAGCUUAUACAAUACAACUGUGUCUUCUCUUCUCUGCUUUCCCCUUUUUGCCUUAGUUCCUGGCAGUAGAAAUGGUAAUAGAAAGAGGGCAUGGAGCUGAGGCUGUGAUGGUACAAGGGACAGACUGUGAGAGUCACCCCAAGAUUUUGCCAGCCUCCUGUGGAUUCCCAACCCACAGUUUGAGGAAGGCUCUUGUCCAUCUGCUCUCGUCCAUCUGUUGACCACAAGCUAUAGACUCACCUGCUACCCAUUCUUUAAGAAAACUCCUGUUAAACACCUUCGAUGAGCCACUAAGCUAGGCCAAUGAAUGCAAUAAGAAUCCUGCUCCUCCAAAUUUUGGGUGGGGACAGGGGGAUUAGAGAAUUAUACACGGACAAGGAAUUGACUGCAUGUCACUGAUGCAUCCCACAGGGCUUAGAAAGGGUUGGCACCUGGUUGUCACUCAACAAAAUAUUUGUUGAAUAAAUGAAGGAACACAAUGCAUUAAGUGCUAUAAUCGAAAAAUAGAAGUAUGCUCUGGGCAUAUGGAAGCUUAAUUUUGCUUCUGAGAGUUAAAAAAGCUUUAACAGGGGAGAUGACAUUUGGAUUUAGCCUUAAAGCAUGAAUAAGAAUUCAGAGGAUGGAGCAAAAUCCCUCUGGCCAAAGUAAAGCCUGGAGUGGAGCGUGAUUUUGGAGUCCGAGAGACCAGUUUGUGAAGAGCUGAAAGAAUUCAGGUGAGAGACAACGAGCAAUUGAACUCGGUAAAAGUCAUCAUCAUUGACAUUUUUUGACCACUUGCCAUGUGUUAAGUGUUUUCAAACUUAUUACCUUCAGCAACACUCCUAUUUGAUCUUCAUGACAUUAUUUUUACAGACAAGGCCGCUAAGGCUUGGAAAGGAUAAGCUGCCUCCUGUGGUUCACAGAUCAUGGGCCAGGGCUGGAGCCCAGGUCAGUCUGACCCAAGGUCUAUGCUGUUAAGCACCAGGCUGUGCGGAGUUUCCACAAACCUGAUUCUUGAGAAGAAGCUCCCUCUAGAGCUGGCACACUGCUUGGCACACAGUAGUCAGUAAAUACUUGCAGAAUGGGUAAUUGUGGUUAGUGACCUGGGUGACCUGGCUCUGGGAGACUGGGAGACGGAAAAGCUUGGUUCUGCUCUUUCCUUGAACUCCACUCCCGGGAGGGAGGGGGUAGGGGAGAGUUUGGGGAGAAUCUUGCUGGGUGUUAAAGUGAGUGUGACCAUGCAUGAAUUGCCUUUCAAUCACAGAAGAUAAUCAUAUGUCACAAGACAUCGGAGCUGGAACGUACCUCAGAUAACCUCCUCAGUGGUUUUCAAAAGGUGUUUCUCUUUCACAGGAAAAUCCCUUUCUCCAAAUACAAUCUUAUGGCUUAGCCAGUCUGACGAACAGAGGGAAGUAGGGGUGCUCUGUCUAGCUCGAGUGCGGUAGGGGUGCUGGAAGGGUCGAAGCCGACCACUCAGCCUCCUCCCAAACCCAUGCGAGAUGCUGACGUGCCUUGACAGAAUCCUACUGCAGCUCAGAACAUAACCUAGAACCCUUGGCCUAGGCCCUGCCCUGAGGGGAAACUGAGAGUUGGCGAUGGGCAAUGACUCCGGGACAGCGUGCCCUUGGGGAAAUGCAGCGCCUGGAUUCAGGGGCACAGCUCUGGCCUUGGGGACCAUAAUCAUUGUAGGCCAAUCCAAUCAGGACGUAGGAGAAGGCGCUCUUGAGCAGUCCAGGGAUUCGAUGUCAUGUCUCAGGGACUAUUAGUGAGAAGAGCCUUGUAAAGCUUGCAGGUUGUUUUUCGGCAUUCUUUCUGGCCCCAGCAACCCCAGGAAGGCAUGGGGCAGGUGUCUGUUUGGGACCAAGGUGCAGUAACUCUCUCCUGGCAGGUGUCAAGGGACACUGAGUAGGACUCUCGAAGGGUGAGAGACGCGUCUCAUUCAUCUUUACAUUCCCUCCAGCCUAGUCCAUUGCUAAGAGUUAAAGCUUGUGUUUGUUGACUGAAUAAUGAAAGUUUGUUUUCCUUUAAAGCGUUGCUUGCCGUGAGACUCCUACCUCUUUUGCUCAGACGAAUCCUCCAAUUUUAGGUAUUUUCUUCCCUUAACCUUUAUUUUUUUGAAAAGGCCACUUUUUGUUCACAUAAGUAUGAAGUGGAUGGAGUGCGGGGCUGGGGAAUUGGAAAGGGGAGGCCGGCCACUUCCCUCUGAGCGUCGCCCCUCUGGGAAAGGCGAGGCCGAGAGCCCAGGCCCCCUCUGUUUUCUGCAGGAGCAGAUCCAAGGUAAGAAUAACAUUUCCUUCAUGAGGAUGUUACUAGUGAAUCCCUCCUCCCAGUCCUGUUUCUUCUGAGGGGCAGAGCAGGCCGCUGGCCCCCAGCAGCUCCUGGCCGUGGGCUUUGCUCUCCUGAGCUGCCUCGGCCGCACUCCCACCCAGGGUGGGCCCUGCCGGCCUGACAGAGGGGAGGAAAGUGAGGUCCCAGUUUCCUGGGAUGUUAAGGCGGGUACUGGGUGGACGUAGGAGGCGGGGGUCCCUCAGCUGUUUACGGGGAGGGAAGCAGUCUUGAGCAGGCCAGGAGGCUGGUGGCAUGAGAGUCCACUAUGAAAACUGCUUUUAGGCAAAUUUGCCUUUUCUCCCAGAGAGUAGUGGAUUUCUUUUCAUCUGGAAGCAGGCCAUGCAUCCCUCCAGGCAACUCUGGGCCCUAAGCGCUGAGCGGCCGCGAGCACAUCUCGGAACCUGGGUUUCCUUGUCUGGAAAGCGAGGAUCAUAACACUCGCCUCCCAAAAAUGCUGUAGGGAUUAUACGUCUGUAAUGACUGUGAAAUGCUGUGUAAGCUAUAAUGUGCCGUAUAGGUGAAAAAUUACUUCCUAAAGCGGCUGAGGCGAAGAAGAGGCUUCCCUCUCCUGAUAUCACUGCGUGGGGAAGACCUGGAAGCCACAGGAAGCUUCAGAUCUGGUGGCGCCCCAUUCCUGCGGCCAUGGUGGCUUGCUUUCAUCGUUAGGAUGUUCACACAGUAGACCCAACCGACUGGCCAGCGUGGGGGCAUGGGGUCCGGAUGGUGGGAGAAGGCAGGUGACGGCAGAGAGGAGAAGGAAAACGACAAGCAUAUGCUUGCUCAGUGUUUGUUUUUCAUCUGUUGUUUACGGGUGGAUGGAUGGGGCCUCUCAUUCCAUAUUGCAUGAGUCAUCAAGUGGGAAAUGAGCACAGUCUCUGUCUUCAUUUAUACAAAGCCUUUGCCUCUUUGCUGAGGUGCGGGGUCACCAUUAGAUGGGGUGGGUGGAAACAGUCUGGUUUAACUUAGUGCAUUUCUGGUCCAAUCACUUUUUUGGCAGAGGGUCUGCUGUUUGUCAUUUACAGUCUUCCCACUCAGAGCUGCUGGAAUCCCUGGGCUCUGUCAGAGCUGAGGAAUGAUGGGACAAAGACAGACAGACAGACAGACAGGUCAAGUUUGCAUAAUUCUGUUCCUGGCUUCAGCUCAUGGCAUCGGAAAUCCUGAUUCUACUUAGACCCCAUGUGUCCCAGGCUUUGACAAAGUGGAUGAAACAAUUAUCUUCGUUAUCGGCCAGAGCAGUAGAAAUGUGAUAGUUGGGAGAUUUUUGCAGGUGGAAGGCCUUGGCUGGGGAUCAAAACCAAUGGUGAAAUGUGCUUAGGAAUUGUUUUCCUCCUCUCCCCUUCUUCCUGUGACUAUGGGCUCCCAGAGAUGGAUUGUGUAUCCCAAUGCGCUGUGUGAGUCCUAUAUCAUUGUGGCAAGAAGUAAUUUCAGGAGAAGGGGAAGCUGCAGAUAGAAGAGAGCUGGAAUUUUGCAGUUUGCUCUCUCUGACCUCCUUAUAUUUGUUUUUCCAUGCAUGCCCAGACCAAGUUCUCUCUAUCUUACUUUUGUCUUACCUCCACCUGCAUGAACGGAACAUGAAUUUUUCUAUAUUAUUAAUGAUACCUUGUAUUUAUUUUGUCUAAUUAAAGGUGAUUUAUUCAGUCAUUAUUUGAUCAACAUUUACUGGCUAUCUUUCUAGAUGUUAAACAAAAUCAGUGCUGUGGAAAUAGAGAGGGAGAAUAGUUAUGGAUUUUAUCCUCAAGAAAUGGUACAUUCUAUCAAGAGAAAUGAGACAUGAAUAGAAGCAAAUAUAACAAAAGAUAGACAGGAACUCACAUUUCAAGAGCUGUAGGCAGAGGGUAGUGUGGUUGUUUGGAG
ensembl:lncRNA